rnacentral:tRNA from 1 species
GGGGUUGUAGCUCAGUGGCAGAGCACUUGCCUUGCAUGUAUGAGGCUCUGGGUUUGAUCCUCAGCACCACA